CCUACGGGAGGCAGCAGUGAGGAAUAUUGGUCAAUGGACGAGAGUCUGAACCAGCCAAGUAGCGUGAAGGAUGACUGCCCUAUGGGUUGUAAACUUCUUUUAUAAAGGAAUAAAACGAGGCACGUGUGCCUUUUUGCAUGUACUUUAUGAAUAAGGAUCGGCUAACUCCGUGCCAGCAGCCGCGGUAAUACGGAGGAUUCGAGCGUUAUCCGGAUGUAUUGGGUUUAAAGGGAGCGUAGAUGGGUUGUUAAGUCAGUUGUGAAAGUUUGCGGCUCAACCGUAAAAUUGCAAUUGAUACUGGCAGUCUUGAGUACAGUUGAGGUAAGCGGAAUUCGUGGUGUAGCGGUGAAAUGCUUAGAUAGCACGAAGAACCCCGAUUGCGAAGGCAGCUUACUAAACUGUGACUGACAUUGAUGCUCGAAAGUGUGGGUAUCAAACAGGAUUAGAUACCCUGGUAGUC
rnacentral:rRNA from 1 species